AUGAACGCUAGCUACAGGCUUAACACAUGCAAGUCGAGGGGCAGCAUUUCAGUUUGCUUGCAAACUGGAGAUGGCGACCGGCGCACGGGUGAGUAACACGUAUCCAACCUGCCGAUAACUCGGGGAUAGCCUUUCGAAAGAAAGAUUAAUACCCGAUGGUAUAAUUAGACCGCAUGGUCUUGUUAUUAAAGAAUUUCGGUUAUCGAUGGGGAUGCGUUCCAUUAGGCAGUUGGUGAGGUAACGGCUCACCAAACCUUCGAUGGAUAGGGGUUCUGAGAGGAAGGUCCCCCACAUUGGAACUGAGACACGGUCCAAACUCCUACGGGAGGCAGCAGUGAGGAAUAUUGGUCAAUGGGCGCAGGCCUGAACCAGCCAAGUAGCGUGAAGGAUGACUGCCCUAUGGGUUGUAAACUUCUUUUAUAUGGGAAUAAAGUUUUCCACGUGUGGAAUUUUGUAUGUACCAUAUGAAUAAGGAUCGGCUAACUCCGUGCCAGCAGCCGCGGUAAUACGGAGGAUCCGAGCGUUAUCCGGAUUUAUUGGGUUUAAAGGGAGCGUAGGUGGACAGUUAAGUCAGUUGUGAAAGUUUGCGGCUCAACCGUAAAAUUGCAGUUGAUACUGGCUGUCUUGAGUACGGUAGAGGUGGGCGGAAUUCGUGGUGUAGCGGUGAAAUGCUUAGAUAUCACGAAGAACUCCGAUUGCGAAGGCAGCUCACUGGACUGCAACUGACACUGAUGCUCGAAAGUGUGGGUAUCAAACAGGAUUAGAUACCCUGGUAGUCCACACAGUAAACGAUGAAUACUCGCUGUUUGCGAUAUACAGUAAGCGGCCAAGCGAAAGCAUUAAGUAUUCCACCUGGGGAGUACGCCGGCAACGGUGAAACUCAAAGGAAUUGACGGGGACCCGCACAAGCGGUGGAGCAUGUGGUUUAAUUCGAAGCAACGCGAAGAACCUUACCUGAUCUUGACAUCCCCCUGACCGGUGAGUAAUGUCACCUUUCCUUCGGGACAGGGGAGACAGGUGGUGCAUGGUUGUCGUCAGCUCGUGCCGUGAGGUGUCGGCUUAAGUGCCAUAACGAGCGCAACCCUUAUCUUUAGUUACUAACAGGUCAUGCUGAGGACUCUAGAGAGACUGCCGUCGUAAGAUGUGAGGAAGGUGGGGAUGACGUCAAAUCAGCACGGCCCUUACGUCCGGGGCUACACACGUGUUACAAUGGGGGGUACAGAAGGCAGCUACCUGGUGACAGGAUGCUAAUCCCAAAAGCCUCUCUCAGUUCGGAUCGAAGUCUGCAACCCGACUUCGUGAAGCUGGAUUCGCUAGUAAUCGCGCAUCAGCCAUGGCGCGGUGAAUACGUUCCCGGGCCUUGUACACACCGCCCGUCAAGCCAUGAAAGCCGGGGGUACCUGAAGUACGUAACCGCAAGGAGCGUCCUAGGGUAAAACUGGUAAUUGGGGCU
rnacentral:rRNA from 1 species